rnacentral:rRNA from 1 species
GGGCUCACACAAGCGGUGGAGCAUGUGGUUUAAUUCGAUGAUACGCGAGGAACCUUACCAGGGCUUAAAUGCAUAAUGACAGGGGUAGAGAUACCCUUUUCUUCGGACAUUUUGCAAGGUGCUGCAUGGUUGUCGUCAGCUCGUGCCGUGAGGUGUCAGGUUAAGUCCUAUAACGAGCGCAACCCCUGUGGUUAGUUGCCAGCGAGUAAUGUCGGGAACUCUAGCCAGACUGCCGGUGAUAAACCGGAGGAAGGUGAGGACGACGUCAAGUCAGCAUGCCCCUUACGCCCUGGGCUACACACGUACUACAAUGGCCGAGACAAAGAGUCGCAAGUUUGCAAAAACAAGCCAAUCUCAUAAACUCGGUCUCAGUUCGGAUUGCAGGCUGCAACUCGCCUGCAUGAAGUUGGAAUCGCUAGUAAUCG